GACGAACGCUGGCGGCGUGCCUAACACAUGCAAGUCGAGCGGAGUCGAUCGACGGAAGCCUUCGGGCGGAAGAUGGUUGACUUAGCGGCGGAUGGGUGAGUAACGCGUGGGCAACCUGCCUCGAAGACCGGGAUAACAGCCCGAAAGGGCUGCUAAUACCGGAUGUGGUCAAAGAUCCGCAUGGAUUUUUGAUUAAAGGGGAAACCCGUUUCGAGAUGGGCCCGCGUCCUAUCAGCUAGUUGGUGAGGUAAAAGCUCACCAAGGCGACGACGGGUAGCCGGCCUGAGAGGGUGACCGGCCACACUGGAACUGAGACACGGUCCAGACUCCUACGGGGGCAGCAGUGGGGAAUCUUCCACAAUGGGCGAAAGCCUGAUGGAGCGACGCCGCGUGAGCGAAGAAGGCCUUCGGGUUGUAAAGCUCUGUCUGGAGGGACGAAGGAAGUGACGGUACCUCCGGAGGAAGCCACGGCUAACUACGUGCCAGCAGCCGCGGUAAAGUACUCUAU
rnacentral:rRNA from 1 species